AAUACAUGCAAGUCGAGCGGACAGAAGGGAGCUUGCUCCCGGACGUUAGCGGCGGACGGGUGAGUAACACGUAGGUAACCUGCCCCUUAGACUGGGAUAACUCCGGGAAACCGGAGCUAAUACGGGAUAAUAAAGAGAAUCACCUGAUUCUCUUUUGAAAGACGGUUUCGGCUGUCACUAAGGGAUGGGCCUGCGGCGCAUUAGCUAGUUGGUAAGGUAACGGCUUACCAAGGCGACGAUGCGUAGCCGACCUGAGAGGGUGAUCGGCCACACUGGGACUGAGACACGGCCCAGACUCCUACGGGAGGCAGCAGUAGGGAAUCUUCCGCAAUGGACGAAAGUCUGACGGAGCAACGCCGCGUGAGUGAGGAAGGCCUUCGGGUCGUAAAGCUCUGUUGUGAGGGAAGAACAAGUACCGGAGUAACUACCGGUACCUUGACGGUACCUCACCAGAAAGCCACGGCUAACUACGUGCCAGCAGCCGCGGUAAUACGUAGGUGGCAAGCGUUGUCCGGAAUUAUUGGGCGUAAAGCGCGCGCAGGCGGCUUCUUAAGUCUGAUGUGAAAUCUCGGGGCUCAACCCCGAGCGGCCAUUGGAAACUGGGAAGCUUGAGUGCAGAAGAGGAGAGUGGAAUUCCACGUGUAGCGGUGAAAUGCGUAGAUAUGUGGAGGAACACCAGUGGCGAAGGCGACUCUCUGGUNUGUAACUGACGCCGAGGCGCGAAA
rnacentral:rRNA from 1 species